AGUGAACGCUGGCGGUAGGCCUAACACAUGCAAGUCGAACGGCAGCACAGUAAGAGCUUGCUCUUACGGGUGGCGAGUGGCGGACGGGUGAGGAAUACAUCGGAAUCUACUUUUUCGUGGGGGAUAACGUAGGGAAACUUACGCUAAUACCGCAUACGACCUACGGGUGAAAGCAGGGGAUCUUCGGACCUUGCGCGAUUGAAUGAGCCGAUGUCGGAUUAGCUAGUUGGCGGGGUAAAGGCCCACCAAGGCGACGAUCCGUAGCUGGUCUGAGAGGAUGAGCAGACAAACUGGAACUGAGACACGGUCCAGACUCCUACGGGAGGCAGCAGUGGGGAAUAUUGGACAAUGGGCGCAAGCAUGAUCCAGCCAUAACGCGUGGGUGAAGAAGGCCUUCGGGUUGUAAAGCCCUUUUGUUGGGAAAGAAAAGCAGCAGGUUAAUACCCCGCUGUUCUGACGGUACACAAAGAAUAAGCACCGGCUAACUUCGU
rnacentral:rRNA from 1 species